AAGAGUCUGCGGUGUUCGUUAUGUGAAACUUUUGCUUCCUGAUUUUUUCAUAUAGGAGUUCGUCCCUGGAGGGAGUGAGCACGCCUACCAAUGAGUAGGAAGCCAAAACCUUCUAACACAUUACUCCACCUUGAGUGGCCAAGGAAUCAAAAGCUUAUCUUUCACAAACGGCAUUGUGGGCUUUUA
rnacentral:other from 1 species